rnacentral:ncRNA from 1 species
UAAAGCUAGGUUUGUGGUUGAAAGUCGAAGCCAGUCGCAGGCAAAACGAUCCACGUAAUUUAGGCAAAAUGUCUAAGGAGCAUGGUGCGGUAUAGAAGUAAGUCCUGCCAGCAUGUAAAGGUUGAGAGAGUUAGUAGUGAGGGAUUAAUUUCUAUUAGCGAAAAUUCCAGCAGGCGAGUGUGGGGUCAAAGACCAGGUCAACUAGCUUUA